rnacentral:rRNA from 1 species
UACGAAGGGGGCUAGCGUUGUUCGGAAUUACUGGGCGUAAAGGGCGCGCAGGCGGCUCUUCAAGUCAGAUGUGAAAUCCCCGGGCUCAACCUGGGAACUGCAUUUGUGACUGCAUCGCUGGAGUACGGCAGAGGGGGAUGGAAUUCCGCGUGUAGCAGUGAAAUGCGUAGAUAUGCGGAGGAACACCGAUGGCGAAGGCAAUCCCCUGGGCCUGUACUGACGCUCAUGCACGAAAGCGUGGGGAGCAAACAGG